GUCAGUAUGUCCGAGUGGUUAAGGCGCUAGACUUGAAAUCUAGUUCAUUCGUGAUCCUAGUCGAACCCUAGUGCUGACG
rnacentral:tRNA from 1 species